CAUUCGUUUUUACUUUGUUCAGUUUUGAGAGGUCUAACUCUCAAAACGAUUCAUCUCUAUUCAUUAGAGGUCAAUCACAUUUUGUUCUUUGAAAACUGGAUACUGUUUAAAAAGUAAUUAAAGUAAGAAACCGAGAAAACACCGCGUUUUAAAUGAGUUUUUUAAUUAGUUCUUAUCGUAAGAUAAUGAAUAAAAUCAUUGACUAACAUCAUGAGAUUCCUUCGGGAAUACCAUCGAUAAAAAUUUAGUUGUAGUGGUUUCUAAUUCGAGGACAUGAAGGGUUUGAGAAGCAGAGCGUACUAGCGUACGUGAGCAUCGCAGAACACGAAAUGGACGAAGAAGUAGGAAGCAAUACAGAUAAAUUAGGUUAAGUUAAUAAGGGCGCACGGUGGAUGCCUUGGCACUAAGAGCCGAUGAAGGACGGGACUAACUCCGAUAUGCUUUGGGGAGCUGUAAGUAAGCUUUGAUCCAAAGAUUUCCGAAUGGGGGAACCCAGCAUUUUUUAUAGAAUGUUACUGCUAGCU
rnacentral:misc_RNA from 1 species